GACGAACGCUGGCGGUGUGCUUAACACAUGCAAGUCGAACGGUAAGGCCCUUUCGGGGGUACACGAGUGGCGAACGGGUGCGUAACACGUGAGUAACCUGCCCUCAUCUCUGGGAUAACAGUCGGAAACGGUUGCUAAUACUGGAUAUGAGCUUGCAAGGCAUCUUGUGGGUUGGAAAGAUUUUUUUGGUUGGGGAUGGACUCGCGGCCUAUCAGCUUGUUGGUGAGGUAGUGGCUCACCAAGGCUUCGACGGGUAGCCGGCCUGAGAGGGCGACCGGCCACAUUGGGACUGAGAUACGGCCCAAACUCCUACGGGAGGCAGCAGUGGGGAAUAUUGCACAAUGGACGGAAGUCGGAUGCAGCAACGCCGCGUGCGGGAUGACGGCCUUCGGGUUGUAAACCGCUUUCAAUUGUGACGAAGCUUUUUGUGACGGUAGCAGUAGAAGAAGCACCGGCUAACUACGUG
rnacentral:rRNA from 1 species